rnacentral:lncRNA from 1 species
CCCCAUAUAUAUAAUUGUUUCACAUCACACACAUAUGCAUUUAUAUCACACGAACAAUAAACUGGACACCAAUCAUCGGCAAGUACAAAAUAUGUGUGAUAUAUAUAGCUAGUUCUUACACGUCAACAAAAGUGACACUAAAUUGUUCUACUUCUUGCAGAUUAAUAGAGAACAACCAAACAAGCACAAGUCUGAAUAACACAAGGUCUAACACGUCUCUGAUACAUAGAAAUUACACACACACACACACACAGAGAGAGAGAGAGAGAGAGAGAGAGAGAGCAGCAGUAGCAGGAUUGGGAAAGAAGGAGGAGUAGCAAGGUUUUUGGAAGAUGAGGAGCAGCAAGGGAAUUUGAGAGAAGGUGUAGCAAGAGAGAGGAGCAGCGGCAGUUCAGCAGAGAGGCUGAGAGGAGCAACAGUAGUUGUAGUUCAGAGCAGUAGCAGCGUGGAGGGUUGAGAGAGCAGAAGGAGCACACUGAGAAGAGAUAAGAAGAGCAAGAGCGGGGCAGUAGGGAGAUCAAGAGAAAGAGCAGCAAGAGAUUGAGAAAGAAGCAGCAGUAAGGGCAUGGAGAGAAAGCAGAAGCAGGGGCGUGGAGAAGAGGUGCUGGUCGCGCGGCGGAUUAGACAGGCCAUCUGGUGGCUUGUGUGAUCUGGUGCUGGUGAUGGUGGAUGGAUGGUGUAGUGAAGAUGGAGGCGCUGUAGUGUUCGGUGGUGAGGUGGCGGAGUUGGUGGUGCUGCUGGAUGGAUGGGUCACGGAGGCGCACCACCACACCGGCCUGGCCGUGGCGGCGGCCGGAGGUGGAGAAGAAAGGGAUCGGGGGAGAGAGAUGAGAUGCCAGGCCUGAUGGGGAAUGGAGGCGUGCUAGGGAUUUUGAUCCCCCAUGAUCUGAUCUGUCUUUUUUUACUUUGGCCCUCCUCCUUUCUUCUUUCUUCACAAGUAGAUCCUCUCUUCUAUAGUUGCCCCCUGGCUACUUCGUUUCUUCUCGCACAUGUCCAUUCUUCCUCCUCUUCUUCGUUCUCUUAGCCACUUAGUCCGGAUCUUGAAGAUUUAUAGUGCCUUUGCGCACAUUUCUGCAAAAUAGACCAACGACUAGUAAAUGAUACUUUAUAUGAUUUUCAUGCAAAUAUUCAAUAUUUCACAGCAAGAAUUGAUGGUCAUAUCUCAAUAAAUAAUAUAUUUCUAUGCCAAAAUUGUAUAUAUGAAAUGUGCUUAUCAAGUUCCCCCACACUUAAACUUUUGCUUGUCCUCAAGCAAAGGCAUAUGACAAGAGCAAGAAUGUGAACAGUGAGCUGACUAGAGAAUACCAAGUGAAGUAGAUGCCUAAACAGUGCAUGCUUUGGACUUAGCUAGUGAAAAUUAAUGGUUAGGAGUGCUUCAAAGCGGUAAGAUACUAGUAAGCAUGACCAUUUUAAACUUUUACAAUGAUAAAAGAGGAUCAACAAGUUUAAAUGAUGACUGCGCCAAAUGGUUCCUAAAGAGAGCAUGAUCCCGAGAACAAAAAGAACUGGAAUUAAAUCUCUUAUUUGCAGAAAUAUAACUUUGUGGUUGACCCACUUAUUGAAUUUGAAAGAAACACACAUAUUAUUUCAUUAGUCUCACCGAAGGAACAUACCACCGAUCCCGAGAACAUGGUAUACACCUGGCUCAACCAAUUUUUAUUAAUUUUUCUGUUUGUCUCCCCAAAGGAACAUACCACCGUUGCCGGGGAAUCAAAAUGAUCAAUUGUAAUAUAGCGGGGUUUUUACGCCCCAAACUACGAGUGUCGUGUUCUCCACAGGGACUAGGUGACGACGACUAUGCUCGGCUAAAGCUAGGUAGCAAGAUAUUGGGUGAUGAAAGCGGAAAAUAAAACCUAAACUAACAAGGUUAUUCCUGAAGAUCGCCGCCAAAGGAAAUGCAAAAUAAGCAAAGGGGAGGUUCAGAUUGUCUAUAUUGUCUUUUUGGUGUUUCCCUAUUACUUGAGAAAUUAAAAUGCUAACACAAAAGGAAACAACAGGACAUGAACACAUAUAUUUAUCUAACAAGCGUAUGACAGAGGGAAGAAACAAGAUAAUAGACAGGGAUGAAAAUGCUUCAUGUCACAACAUAUAUUAUAGGUGCAGAGCUAAUACAUAGACUGAAAAUUGAAUGAUCACACAACUGGCUACCACAGAGAGUAAUUUCAAUACAAAAUAAAAUCACGAAUAGUAACAUGAAUUUUUUAUAGUGAGCUAGCUGACAUGAUUUACAUCACAAAACACACAUGUAUUUAUAUAGCACAUGUACUGGAGCUAACACAUUGACAACUGAAUAAAUUUAUGCAGUAAGGAACAAACACAUAAGGGAUCCCACACAUACAGUAGCAGAAUACUAAUUAACAGAUGACAAGUAUGAACUGAACAUAUAGCAGGUUACAGGCACUUAGAUAAUCUGAAUAUUACAAAGCUUCUUACUACUCCUAUUACAGAAAAUUCAGAGAAUAUAGAGAGGGGGAAGAGAUAUAGCAGCAGAGGAGGUAAGGAGGAAGAGUAGCUGUGAGGGGAAGGGAGUAGUAGUGGCAGUUGAAAGAAGAAGCCGCAGGGCGCAGCAAUGGAGGAGCAGCAGCGGGACUUGGAGAAGAGGAGGCAGCAGCAGGAGGUCGAGGAGAAGAAGGAAGAUGCAGCAAUUUUAUGAUUCAGAAAAGAACAGUAGCAGAGGACAUGGGAAGAGGGAGCAGCAGCGGGGGCAUGGAGAGGCAGUAGGUUGAGGCGCCAGGAGAGGAGAUGUAGCAGCAAGAGAUGGAGAAGGGCAGAAGAAUCAGCAGGGUGGAGGCGCACGGAGGAAAGAGAGCUCGCGCGAGGGAUCAGACGCCUCCGCGACCUCGUGUCUGAUGGGGCGCGCGAGGUGGCGCUUGGUGCUGAGGGCGGUGGUGGCCGGAGGCGCUGGUGGGUGAUGGUGAGAUGGUGAUGCUGGUGGAUGGAUGAGUUGCGAAGGCGCACCACCACGUCGGCCUGGCCGUGGCGGCGGCCUGAGGUGGGAGAAGAAGUGGUCAGGGAGAGAGAUGUGUGCCAGGCCCGAAGGGAUCGAAGGAGAUGGCUAGGGAUUUUACCCCUCUCGAUCAGAUCCGCAUUCUUCUCGUUUAGCCCUCCUUGUUUUCUUCUUUCUUCCCAAGUUGGUCCCCUUCUUCUUCAGCUAGCCCCUGUAGGUUAAUUCUUCUUCACACUCGAGUUCCUCUGCAAAAUGCAGCAGCCGCAACCUCUUAGACACUCCAAUAUACAAGGAUUUGGGCCUUAUCGCCCUUUUCUGCAAAAGAUGGAGUAGUGUUGUAAAUGUGACAUAAUAUGAGUAUUUGAAUAUCUUUCGAGUAAAUAAUGUGAAAAUAUGAUUACAAUUUGAUGCAAAAAGGCUAAAAAUAAUAUAUGAGGAAAUGCUCUAUCAAGUUCCCCCACACUUAAAUCUUUGCUUGUCCUCAAGCAAAGAAAUAUGACAAGAGCAAGAUUGUGAACAGUGAGCUGACUAGAGAAUGCCAAGUGAAGUAGAUCUCCAAACAAAGCAUGCUUUGAACUUUGCUAGUGAAAAUCAAUGGGCAGGAGUGCUUCAAAGCAGUAGGAUACUAGUAGACUUGACCAUUUUAAACUUUUACAAUGAUAAAAAUGGAUCAACAAAUUCAAAUGCUGAUUGUGCCAAAAGGUUCCUAAAGAGAGCAUGAUCCCGAGAACAAAAAAGAACUAGAAUUAAAUCUCUUAUUUGCAGAAAUACAACUUUGUGGUUGAACCACUAAUUGAAUUUGAAGGAAGUAAUGAUAAUAUUAUAUUGAUCUCACCAAAGGAACAUACCACCGAUUCCGAGAACAUGGUAUACACCCGGCUCGACCAAUUAUAUAGUUUUUUUGUUUGUCUCCCCAAAGGAACAUACCACUGAUCCCGAGAACAUGGUAUACACCUGGUUCGACAAUUACAUUAUUAUUAUUAUUAAUUACUGCCCAAGCUAACCCGAUUUCACAUGCCACCGAUCCCGGGAACAUGACAUGCUACUGUAGGUAGUCAGACUAAUUUAUUCAUUAUUACUUAUCUUAAAUGAACAACGCUUAAGCACAAAAAUAGGAAUCAUCACUUCUCCAUGUCUAGUUCACAUGCUACCGAUCCAGGGAACAUAGCAUGCUAAUCCAUAGUGGUUAGGUGAUUGCUCUCAAUGGGAACACACUUAGCACAAAUUCAGCAUCUAAACAUGGUGAUGUAGGUGUAUCAAGGUAAAAGCAGAAAAUGAUCAAGUUUUCUAGUGUACUAGGGAUUUGAGCACUCAAAACUAAUAACUUCCACAAAUUUCAGCAAAGCAUGCAUGGUGUAGAUCACUAGUUUACAAGGCAUUCAGAAAUCAAGUUCACAAAUUCACAUCAAGCACAAUGCCAAAGGUGAAUUUCAGCUUGACAACAAGUAAUAACUAGCUCAAGCAACCCAACUAGCAAUUGAAUUCAGCAUGUAUUUAUGAUAUUCAGAAUGGGUCAUGAAACAGCUCACCAGGCUUAAUGAAGUAGCACUCGCUCAAUCACCUCACCAGUUGCAGCUCUUCUCCUUUCCUUCCUCAUGGAUGCUCCAGCUUCACUCUUCUUCGUGUGUGCCCCAUUGCUUCUCCUCAUCGCCAUGCUUUGGGUCCACCAGGGUCCCAAGGAAUGUCACCUCGAACCUGGUCAGCAUGAAGUGAACGAUGCAGAAGCAGAAACCUGAAAGAACACUCCACAAAAGAGACGAUGCAAGAGGUAGGGAUAAUACCCUCCAAGUCGUCAAUCGAGUAUCCAAUUACAUAAGCAUAGCUAUAAAGCACAUGUUUAGGAUGGUAGAAAUCAGCAAGGUCAACACUAACAUGAGGAUGAUAUUUAUCAUUAAGCUCAAGACUAGUAUGGGAAUGAUAUGUUUCAUAAAGCAUAGGUCUAGCACGAGGAAAGUAAUUGUGAUCAUCACUAAUGUGAGUAAUGCCACUAACAGGGUAUAUAUGAUCAUAUCCAAGCAAAUACUUUUUCAAAUCUACUUUAACAGAUGGCAUCAUGCAAUGCAAGGUAGUAGCAAACAAUUCAUAUGGGGACAUGCCAUUGAGAGGAUUAGAUAAACCUGCAAUGUCACACUCUUGUAUGAUGAUAGACAAUUGAAUUUCUGGUUCUUCAUCUUCAACUACAACAGCUUCUUCUACUUCGUCGGGAGUGGUAGACAUUGAAUCUUCAACUUGUUCAUUUGGGUAUUCGAGCUCUGGAUCAUCUUGUGCCUUGGCUUUGAGAAUUUCUUCUUGGAUCUGAAGUAUCUCUUCCUCUGGACUCUCACUAUCUUGCUCAGCUGAAUGUGAAGGUGUUGGGACCUCACAUGUAUCAAGGGGUAUCCCAGAAAUACUCAACUCAAGGAGGGAAGAGAUAAUACUGCCAGCAUUGAUGUUCUUCUCAAUCUUCCUUACUUCUUCCACUAGCUCCUUUCCACUCUUAAUCUUCUUCAUUUCCUCAAGUAUCACCUUCCUAAUAGGAUCAUCUUUAGCACUCCAAGUGAACUCGAGACUAAGCAAUGUGAGCUUGUCUAUAUCAUCGAAGUCAUCUUGUGUGGGCACUUGUGCAUGAGAUUGCUCAACAGGUGCUGGAGUUGUUGGUUGACCAAGUGGAGGACAAUUUAACUCCAUUGGCAACAUGUCCUGGUGUUGAGGUAUAUGAGUAGGAGCUGAAUAAAUUUGUUGUGGAACAUAGUUGUGGCUCUCCUCUUCAUACCUAAAUCCCUGCAUUGGAUAACUAGAGGCAAACGAUGAGAUCUCAGGGUUGUUGCUCCUAUAUGACAUAUUCUGGUUUUCAGGCCACCCAUGUGUGUAAUUGUUUUGGUAUGAGCUAUGCUCUUGAGCGAAGCUCAUGCCAAAACAAUCUGAAGGGUAAGAGUUACCACGCUGACAUUCAGCGGGCGAAUGGCCCUGAAAUCCACAAAUAUGGCAGGUAGGAGCAACAUAAGGAUGGCCUCUAGAAUAAGGAUCAUAAGAGCUAGGCCUAUCCUCAAAAACUAGUUCUCACUGCCGAGCUAAAUCAUCAAAUCGAUGGGAAAUCUUACUUAUCAGGUCUUGAAUACUUUCCAUGAUGUUUGCACUGUUGCUCGCAUAAGCAUGAUGAUCUGAAUAGUAAGCCAUAUCUGAGAAGAUGCAAUAACCUGCAGAAUGACCAAGUAAAGAAAGAGAAAAUAACUCGAACAAGGGUUAGGGGUUAGAGAUAUAUCACAUAUAUAUAGCACAAAGGGAAAAACAAGAAAAACCUAGUCUAUAGCCUAACAAAAUCGCUCAACGCUAUUCCCCGGCAACGGCGCCAAAAUGAUCUGUUGUAAUAUAGUGGGGUUUUUACGCCCCAAACUACGAGUAUCGUGUUCUCCUUAGGGACUAGGUGACGACAACUAUGCUCAGCUAAAGCUAGGUAACAUGAUAUUGGGUGAUGAAAAUAGAAAAUAAACUAACACUAACAAGAGUAUCAAUAAAGGAAAUGACACAGAAACAAAGGGAGGUUCAGAUUGUACUUUUAGUCUUUUUGGUAUUAUCGUUUUACUUGAGAAAGGAGACACUGACACAAGAAUACAAAUAUGACCAAAGGGAAACAACAAUACUAGAACACAUAUAUUUAUCUAACUAAUGUGUGACAGAGAGAAGAAACAAGAUAAAGGACAUGGAUGAUAAUGCUUCAUGUCACAACAAAUAUUACAGGUACAGAGCUAAUACAGAGACUGAAAAUUAAAUGAUCACACAACUGACUACCACAAAGAGUAAUUUCAAUACAAAAUAGAAUCACAAGUAGUAAUCUGAAUUUAUACAAACCACUAACUGAAAUACAUGCCCCAUAUAUAUAAUUGUUUCACAUCACACACAUAUGCAUUUGUAUCACACGAACAAUAAACUGGACACCAAUCAUCGGCAAGUACAGAAUAUGUGUGACAUAUAUAGCUAGUUCUUACACGUCAACAAAAGUGACACUAAAUUAUUCUACUUGUUGCAGAUUAAUAGAGAACAAUCAAACAAGCACAAGUCUGAAUAACACAAGGUCUAACACGUCUCUGAUACAUAGAAAUUACAGAGAGAGAGAGAGAGAGAGAGAGCAGGAUUGGGAAAGAAGGAGGAGCAGCAAGGUUUUUGGAAGAUGAGGAGCAUCAAGGGCAUUUGAGAGAAGGUGCAGGAAGAGAGAGGAGCAGCGGCAGUUCAGCAGAGAGGCUAAGAGGAGAAACAGUAGUUGUAGUUCAGAGCAGCAGCGGCGUGGAGGGUUGAGAGAGCAGAAGGAGCACACUGAGAAGAGAUAAGAAGAGCAAGAGCGGGGCAGUAGGGAGAUCAAGAGAAAGAGCAGCAAGAGAUUGAGAAAGAAGCAGCAGUAAGGGCAUGGAGAGAAAGCAGAAGCAGGGGCGUGGAGAAGAGGUGCUGGUCGCGCGGCGGAUCAGACAGGCCAUCUGGUGGCUUGCGCGAUCUGGUGCUGGUGAUGGUGGAUGGAUGGCGUAGUGAAGAUGUAGGCGCUGUAGUGUUCGGUGGUGAGGUGGCGGAGUUGGUGGCGCUGCUGGAUGGAUGGGUCGCGGAGGCGCACCACCACACCGGCCUGGCCGUGGCGGCGGCCGGAGGUGGAGAAGAAAGGGAUCGGGGGAGAGAGAUGAGAUGCCAGGCCUGAUGGGGAAUGGAGGCGUGCUAGGGAUUUUGAUGCCCCAUGAUCUGAUCUAUCUUUUUUUUACUUUGGCCCUCCUCCUUUCUUCUUUCUUCCCAAGUAGAUCCUCUCUUCUAUAGUUGGCCCCCUGGCUACUUCGUUUCUUCUCGCACAAGUCCAUUCUUCCUCCUCUUCUUCGUUCUCUUAGCCACUUAGUCCGGAUCUUGAAGAUUUAUAGUGCCUUUGCGCACAUUUCUGCAAAAUAGACCAAAGACUACUAAAUGAUACUUUAUAUGAUUUUCAUGCAAAUAUUCAAUAUUUCACAGCAAGAAUUGAUGGUCAUAUCUCAAUAAAUAAUAUAUUUCUAUGCCAAAAUUGUAUAUAUGAAAUGUGCUUAUCA